GAUGAACGCUGGCGGCGUGCUUAACACAUGCAAGUCGAACGAGAAGUGAAGACGGAAACCUUCGGGCGGAAGACUUUAUUUCGGGUGGCGGACGGGUGAGUAACGCGUGGGUAACCUGCCUCAUACAGGGGGAUAACAGUUGGAAACGACUGUUAAUACCGCAUAAGACCACAGCACCGCAUGGUGCGGGGGUAAAAACUCCGGUGGUAUGAGAUGGACCCGCGUUCGAUUAGCCAGUUGGCGGGGUAACGGCCCACCAAAGCGACGAUCGAUAGCCGAUCUGAGAGGAUGACCGGCCACAUUGGGACUGAGACACGGCCCAAACUCCUACGGGAGGCAGCAGUGGGGAAUAUUGCACAAUGGGGGAAACCCUGAUGCAGCGACGCCGCGUGAGUGAAGAAGUAUUUCGGUAUGUAAAGCUCUAUCAGCAGGGAAGAAAAUGACGGUACCUGAGUAAGAAGCCCCGGCUAACUACGUGCCAGCAGCCGCGGUAAUACGUAGGGGGCAAGCGUUAUCCGGAUUUACUGGGUGUAAAGGGAGCGCAGACGGCUCUGCAAGUCUGAAGUGAAAGCCCGCGGCUUAACCGCGGGACUGCUUUGGAAACUGCAGGGCUUGAGUAUCGGAGGGGCAGGCGGAAUUCCUAGUGUAGCGGUGAAAUGCGUAGAUAUUAGGAAGAACACCGGUGGCGAAGGCGGCCUGCUGGACGAAAACUGACGUUGAGUCUCGAAGGCGUGGGGAGCAAACAGG
rnacentral:rRNA from 1 species